rnacentral:siRNA from 1 species
CAGUUUCCUGGAUUGAGUUUUCUU